rnacentral:lncRNA from 1 species
AGAGACCUCGACUUAGGGAUAUUGAUUGCAUGACAACUAUUAGCCUCGAGUCUUAGUCUCCCUAUUAGUUUGUUGUUUCCCCGAUCUCUGGUUAGGAGAGUGUUUUACCCCUGGUAAGGGGAACUACGUCGCCCUGAUUCUCAUGCCAGAUGAGAUACGUAGGCAAGAGGUUGAGAGUAAUCUCUCCGGGCACCCUUUUCUUUGUUUUCGCGUUUGUUCAC